GAGGACCAUUCCUUAUUUCAUGCACACUACAUUCCGUACGCAACGGCGUCGUUUUGCAUACCCUAACCCCGAUUCCUCCUCGAAAAGCUCUAAUAUUGAACGUAUCCACAUUCCCAAUUUCACUCGCUUUCCCUUUUCUUCCACUGUUCUUAGUUAAACUAUGUCGGGCAGAAACCGAGGGCAACCCCUUCAUCCUCCGCAUGCCGCGGGGCUAUCGCCGCCAAUUCACGACCACCCGGUGUUCGGCGCUCGGGCCCAUCACCAUCUAGUGGGACCCAUUGUCCCGCCCCAUCCCCACCCCGCGCUUCUGGAAGACUUCCGGGACUCGCAGCUAGGGCUGGGCCCACGCGGGCCCAUUCCGCUUCACCCGGCGGCGAUAAUCGAGGAGCGUCUCGCGGCCCAGCACCAGGACAUUCAGGGCCUUCUGGGCGACAACCAGAGGCUCGCCGCCACCCACGUGGCCCUCAAGCAGGAGCUAGAGGCAGCCCAACACGAGCUCCAGCGCGUGGCGCACUUCCGAGACUCGCUCCGGGCAGACACAGAGGCCCGCAUGAGGGAACUCUACGACAAGUCGGCCCAGCUCGAGGCCGAACUCCGGGCCACCGAGGCCUCCCGGGCCGAGCUCCUCCAGGUCCACGCCGACAUCAAGGAGCUCACAGCAGUCCGUCAGGACCUGUCCGGACAGGUGCAGGCCAUGACGCAGGACUUGGCCCGCAUGACUGCCGAUGCCAAACGGCUGCCGGCGCUCAGGGCCGAUGUGGAGGCCAUGAAACAGGAGUUGCAAUGUGCAAGGGCUGCCAUUGAGUAUGAGAAGAAGGGAUUUGCUGAAAACUAUGAGCAUGGUCAAGUGAUGGAGAAGAAGUUGGUUGCAAUGGCUCGGGAGAUGGAGAAGCUUCGUGCGGAAAUUGCGAAUGCAGAGAAAAGAGCACGGGCUGCUGCGGCGGCUGGGAAUCCAGGCCCAGGGUAUAAUGCAAAUUAUGGCAAUGCUGAUGCUGGAUACGCUGGAAAUCCUUACCCUGGAAUUUAUGGCAUGAAUCCAGUACAGUCUGGAGGGGAGAAUUUUCCUCAGUAUGGACCAGGGCCUGGGGCUUGGGGUGCAUAUGACAUGCAGCGAGCUCAAGGACACAGAUAGAUUCCUGUUAAGCAAUCAUAUAACUGGUUUCUGUAAGAGAGAAUUGCAACUCUUUUUUCUGUGCGUAUGCGUUCAUUUAGUAUCAGCUUUUCACUCAAUAAAGAGAGAUCACUCAGGUGCCUUUUAUCAUAUUUAUUCUCCAGUCAGUUUUUGAGACAAUCUCACGACAAUGACCUCACAAAUGCAACAGAAAAGAAGGAAAAUAGUUUCUCCUCAAGCACAAUUCUUCCUUUGUUCCUCUCAUUUUAUUUUUUAAUUGGUUCUACUGAGUAGAGACCCUUAGACUCAUUUUCCUCGGUUUCUUGUGUAGCUAGGAAGUGAAAUGCCAUUUUCUCCAGUACCAUCCUCUUACUAAAGUAUUAUGGUAUAGGUUUGACAGCUCAUUUUUGAGCUGGCUACAGCUAUGAUUCAAAUUUCACUGGAUCCCUAUUUUCUCCAAUAAAAUUUAUUUUUCUAUGGAAAUUUCUCCCUUUUAUGGUCACAUGCCUGUUUAUGCCUACAUAUUAUCCUGUACAGCACCUCUGGAAUGAUUUAGGUUUGUAAUUGAUAUACUGGAAGCUCACAAGACGGAGGUAAAAGAAUAAGGGGUUUCCUUUUGGUCAAGCUUCAGUUGUGAUGUGAAACUCAAUUCCUGUUUUAUCGUUUUCAAGUUUUCUGAGUGAGGUUUCAUUCAAGAAGAGAUGUUCUCCUUUGGGAAUUUUUCUAUUUUGAAGCAGCUAAGUGUAUUUUUAGCUUGAUCUAUUCUGCUAGCUUCACAUACUCAACACUGGAGCCAAAGGACGGGAGUCUUAGUUGAGUAAGUUACGCAGCUUUCUGAAUGGGCUGUGAAUUUUGGGCCCGAACAUUGUGCCCUGACUCUGAUUCCAUCAUUCAGAUCUGCAGUGAAUGAGAAUAUGCAUGGUGGUGACAAAGGAAGAUAUCUGAAAAGCUACUGAAAAAGAACUCCAGUUGGGGAAGCAGAACAAAAUUAUAGAGCAAACCAAAGAAAAGAAGAAUAUACUGGGAGUCUUAUUUCCAUGAUAUGAGGGCUAAAGUACAAAUUUAACAUCUUCAUCAUUUGUACUUGUUACUGAUUGUUGAGAUUCAGGAUGUUUGGUUUUUAUGCAGUUAGUCACUAAAUUUAUGGUGUAAUUAGUUUGGUUCGUUUGUUCGUCCUUUAAAAA